AGACUGUUUUGUUGAGUAUAGCAGCAUCAGAUAUUUGUUUGGAACAUUGUCUUGGUCCACCCAGUGUUGUUCCAAAAGCUGGUUCAUUCAUGCUGUGGUUUGGAUGGUGACCUGGUCUUUGGAAGGAUCCCACUUAAGGAAACAAAAGAAAUUUGACCAGAUAUGGCAGUGAACAGCACUAUUGUCAAUUUUUCCAACUGCACAUUCCAAUCUGAAAGCAAUUGUUCUGGUGAUGACGUUUUUGAUUGCAUCGAUUCAUUUCCAGGAAGUGUUCUCACUAACUCAUAUUUGAUGAUAAACGUCAUCCUUAUGCUCCCUCUGAACUGCUGGAUUCUGUGGCUGGCAUUAAAAACUACAAGCGCUGCAUCCUCAGACUUUGUUAUUUUUAAUCAUUCUGUUGCUGAAGUUAUAAAUGACAUUUCUUUCUCUUUGUUUGUGUUAGGCGCUGUUUAUAGAAAUAAACUUCUUAUUCUUAUCGGGAAUUUCCUGGGCAGUACAUUUAUAGUGGGUCGGCCACUCUUUCAAACUUUUUUCUGUGUGGAGCGCUUCCUGGCUGUAGUCCAUCCGCUGGUCUACCUAAAAUACACAAAAUCCCCUAAAUUUAAAUUGCCAUUUGUUGCGCUUGUCUGGAUAAUAAUCCUGAUAUUUGGAUGGUUUAUUAUGGACUCCUAUCCUAAAUUGCCCAUAUGGUAUUGCAUGGGAUUGUUUCUUGCAAUGUUAAUUGUGUGUACAAUUUGCUCUGUCAUGAUUUUAUUGGUUUUGAAAAGGCCUAAGCCAGGGGAGGGAGAUAAAGAGGGAGCGUAUCAACGCAAGAGAAAGGCUUUCAUGGCAGUUAUAAUCAUUUUGAUUACAUUGUUGUUUGGAUAUGGGACAGUCGCAUGUGUUAUUGUACUGAGGGAUCAGCUUUCAUACCAUACUUACUGUUUGGUUUUAGGUCUAAGUUGGUGGUUCCUUUUGCCAAACAGUGCAGUUCAGCCAUAUCUCUAUCUGUCAAAAAUGAACAAGUUACCAUGCACUGAAAAUCUUUAAUUCAGAGAUUUUUGACAUGGAUUUUAUGUUGACAUUACAAAGUUUUUUUUAAAUAUUGUUAUAUAUGAAAAUAAUUUGUGGGUUAAAGGCGGAGUGCACGAUUUCUGAAAAACGCUUUGGAAAACGGAGUCGGGAUGACUACCAAAACACACUUGUAAUCAAUCAGCAGUAAGGUACGUGCCUACUAAACGACAUUGUUGCCUGGGUUGCGUACGUGUGGGGCGGUCCUAUCAAAAGAAGGUACAGAUUCUAUUGGGGUAGGGGUGUGUUAAGAUUAGGGCUGGGUAUUGACAAGGGUCUCAGACACAAAACAUAUCAACAUACAAUGUAUCACGAUAUGGUACAAAAUGUUGCGGUACAUUGCAAUUCUUUUUUAUCAAAAAUGUAGAAAAAAAUUGAGCUGAUUUUUUUUUAUCCAAAGUGCUUCCACACGUCGGCAGGCAUUUUACAUUGGCCGAAUUGCUGUAUAUGACAGACAACUGGACAGCGACAACUACAGCAGUGGCGGAGGGGGUCGUUUGACGCACACAAAGGGAUUAGAUUUUUGCUUAAAUAUCUAUACUAGAGAUCGAAAUAUCGAUAUACCAUUGUGGGCAAAUGUAUCACGAUAGUAAGCUGUAUCAAUAUUUUUGCGCAGCCCUAGUUUAAAUGAUUUCAAAUGUCAACAUUAGGUGUGUCAGACCGAUUGGCUACACUGUAAAAAAAAUUCUGUAGAAAUUGCAGCUGGGUUGCCGGUAAUUUACCGUAGAUUUAAGUUUAUGUUUUUUUACUGGCAACAUUUUUUUCAAAGUUAAAUGAACAUUAAACAUUUACAAGUCUUUGUCUUUACAGAGUAAAACUAAAAAACAGCAUCAAGCAAAACAUUCUGGGAAACAAAAUCUGAAGCAAAAAACAGAAAAAGGUUGAUGAUGAUUUCUGGUUUCCAGAAUGCUUUGCAUGAGGCUGUUAUUGUUUUAUUCUUUAAAGAUAAAGUUUAUUUAACUUUGAACAAACUCUUGCCUGUAAAUAACAUAAAUGUAAAUCUACGGUAAAUUACCGGCAACCCAGCUGCAAUAACAUUGUAAUUUCUACGAAAUUUUUUUACAGUGUAGGUUUGGAGCUUGCAGUCGAGGGAGGAGCUGAAGAAAGAGCCUCUGAAGUCAGAGAUUAUGGACCCUGCCUUUAAUGCAUUGACUUACAUUUAUUCAUUUAGAUGCCUUUGAUGAGGUCGCAUUUAGCAUUUUGUCUAAGGAGCCAACAAUACACGUAGUCUAAAAAGCAAAAGAAUUGAACAGAAUUGAAGGAAAGAUGAACUAUGUAGAAUUUUCUUAAUAAAGUUUGACUGUGGACAACUGACGGUUAGGGGUCAGUUACUGAAUUUGAAAGAGGAAUAAAAUGCAGUAUGCAUAAUAAAUGUUUUGUUUUUAAUUCAUAGAUUAUUAUAACAUUUAGAUUUUUACCUCUACAAAAGUUUUUUUUUCUUAAAAAAGGAACAUUUAGAAAACCAACAUUGUGAAUUAAGAAAUUACUUUGUGUUAUAUUCUAUAUUGAUAAAAAAUGUUACAAAAUAAUGUUUUGAAGGAAACUAUUCUUUUUAAUCUUAAACUAACUUUUUACUUCUUCACAAUGUGUUUUUUAUUUUUAUAUAUUAAAAUAACUAACCUUUGUUAUGUAAUAAAAUAUGCUUUUUACUGUCAUUUAUUUUUGCGCACCUGCAUAUGUUGAAGUCCUGUUUGCAUGACUGACAUGUUCAAAAUGAAACUGACAUUUAAAUAAGUCUUUUAUAAUUUUUGACCCAGUGAGAACCCAGCUAAAGUAUUUUUUGUGAUUUGUUUACCAAAUAAAUUCUUCUACAGAAUGUAAAGAACAUGUGAAAUUAUAACCUUGAUAUCUUUAAUAUUGACGUAUGGUUAGGUCAAAGGAAUCAAUUUUGAUGCAAGAUUAAGACUUUAGCCUGUAUUUCACAGGGUCACAUAUUUAUAUAUUUGAGAAGACCAGCUUGUUUUUAUUUUAAAGUUGUUGUUUUUUUAAAUAUUUCUUUACAUUUUAUUCAGAUAAUAAUUUGAAGAGUUUGGUUCCAAACCGAGAUAACGUUUUAAAUUUGUACAAUUUAAAAAAUAUAUUAAUAGGUUAUCAUGUUUUUUUAUUGUGUUUUGUUGUGAUACUUAGCUGUAUGUUUUAGUUAUGAAGGCUUAAAUCAAAACAAACCAACUGCAGUUUGAUUAAUAUUAAUUGGAACGCAAAUCUUAUGAAGAUUUUUGAAAAAAAAAGAUCUCGUUUUGGAACCAAACUCUUCAAACAAGAAAACUACUUCCUUGAAAUGUGUGUGUUACAUUUAGAUGUAAAUCUUCAGUCCAGUGAUUCAAAUGGUUACAUUUAAAAUAUAAAAACAUGGAGCUUUCUUUCCUCAAUGUGGCAUUUGUUCUGGAUUGUGGCCUUCACAAUGAAGCAAUUAAUGGCAAUUCCAUGGGUUUAAUCCCUGUAUGGGCCACUUGCUUUUCUACUGUGAUUUGCUCCCUGUUCUGGUGCAGGGUUUUCUCAUAGACACUGCUACAAUGUUCACUUCAGUAGUUCAUUUGGGGCCAAGUGACCUUUAUUUGUGACCCAGUGGCCCUGUGUAACUUUAACCCUAUAGGCUCCAUAUGGUGUAAUGGUUAGUGCUCUGGAUUAUAAAUCCAUGUUCAGUUUUGGUGGAACCUGCUGUAGGGGCCGCACUCUGAAAAC